UCUGAGGCACUGGGGGUUGAGCCCAAGGCCUUCCCAACCCUUUUUAAUUUCUUUCUAAAUUUUAACACAGGGCCUUGCUAAGUUGCUACAGUGCCCAGGUUGGCCUUGAACUUGCAGUGCUCCUGCCUCAGCCUUCCAGAGUACUGGGAAGACAGGCGUGUGCCACUGUGCUUGGCUUAAAACUGUAUUUCUCUUCCUACAUUUUGAAAUUUAUUUUCUUUGUGGUUGCUCUGAGAAUUACUAUUAGAACCUUAAUUUAGAGCAAUCUGCAAUUUCAACAGUAUGCAGAGACUUUGUUGAAAUAUGGCUCCAUUCUCUCCUAACUCCUUUGUGCCACUAUCGUCAAACAAAUUACAUCUUUACACAUGAUACACAUCAGCAUUCUUUAGGCAGUUAUCUUUGAAAUCAGAGAAAAAGAAUGACACACUCUCUACUAUAUUAACCUAAGUUGUUACCCUUUCCAGUGUUCUUUAUUGUGUGUGCAUCGCCUUUCCUAUUACUUCAUUUCAGCCCAAAGGACUCCUUUUAGUAUUUCUUGUAGGGCAGGUAUGAUAAUGACAAAUUCUCUCCAGCUUCAGUGAUCUGAAAUAUCUUAUCUCCACCUUCCUUUUUGAAAGGCAGUGUUGCUGACUGUAGAAUUCUUUAGUGAUAGUCUUUGUCAUUUAAGACUUGUAUCAUUCCACUGCUGUCUGACCUCCACUUCUGAUGAAAGCUCCUUGAAAAAUCUUAUUAAGGAUCCCUUGUACGUGAUCUGCUCUUGAGCCCUGCUAGUGAACUUUUCAUUUCAGCUUUCUUGCAUCGCUUGUGUAGGAGCUGCAGGAGCUGCAGGUGCUGUAGGGUGAGGCUACAGCAGAUUCUGCUCAGUCAGCUCAGCUGUCGGCUGAUGAGUGAUGAUUACCUUCAAUGCCCUGAACCCCUACCUCUCACACCCUGGCCAUGGGGCUCUGGGUGCUGGACCUGCCUCCACCAUGAAGCGGUUCACCCCUUGGCCUUAGGGCUCCCUGUUUGCUUGUGCAGAGCCUCAGGUAAGCUGGAGUGAGAGAUGGGGUUUUCUUGUUUCUUUGCAGCCUGUGCACAGCCCUGGAUAGACAUGUGGUCUCUGGGUCCCCAGGACCACGUCACAGUUUUCUGUGGAUGUCCAAUUCCUUCAGUCUUCAUUUUAAAUAUUUGACCAGGCUCUUUAGUGUCAGUACUCCAUGAUGGGACUUUCUGAGACACUCCAGGCCCAGCCAGUCUAAGGAUCCACUGCUGCUCAUCAAAAGCUGACAUUCUGCUCUAUCUUUUCUUAUCCAUCUCUACUGCCCUGUUUGAA